rnacentral:rRNA from 1 species
AACGAACGCUGGCGGCAGGCUUAACACAUGCAAGUCGAGCGCCCCGCAAGGGGAGCGGCAGACGGGUGAGUAACGCGUGGGAACCUACCUAAUAGUACGGAAUAACUCAGAGAAAUUUGUGCUAAUACCGUAUACGCCCUUCGGGAGAAAGAUUUAUCGGAGAUUGAUGAGCCCGCACUGGAUUAGGUAGUUGGUAGGGUAAAAGCCUACCAAGCCUACGAUCUAUAGCUGGUCUGAGAGGAUGAUCAGCCACACUGGAACUGAGACACGGUCCAGACUCCUACGGGAGGCAGCAGUGGGGAAUCUUGCACAAUGGGCGCAAGCCUGAUGCAGCCAUGCCGCGUGAGUGAAGAAGGCCCUAGGGUUGUAAAACUCUUUCGCUAGGGAAGAUAAUGACGGUACCUAGUAAAGAAGCCCCGGCCAACUCCGUGCCAGCAGCCGCGGUAAUACGGAGGGGGCUAGCAUUGUUCGGAAUUACUGGGCGUAAAGCGCGCGUAGGCGGAUUGACAAGUUGGGGGUGAAAGCCCGGAGCUCAACCUCGGAACUGCCCCCAAUACUACCAGUCUUGAGUUCGAGAGAGGUGAGUGGAAUUCCUAGUGUAGAGGUGGAAUUCGUAGAUAUUAGGAAGAACACCAGUGGCGAAGGCGGCUCACUGGUCCGGUACUGACGCUGAGGUGCGAAAGUGUGGGGAGCAAACAGGAUUAGAUACCCUGGUAGUCCACACCGUAAACGAUGGAUGCUAGUUGUCGGGCGGCUUGCCGUUCGGUGACGCAGCUAACGCGUUAAGCAUCCCGCCUGGGGAGUACGGUCGCAAGAUUAAAACUCAAAGGAAUUGACGGGGGCCCGCACAAGCGGUGGAGCAUGUGGUUUAAUUCGAGGCAACGCGAAGAACCUUACCAGCUUUUGACAUCCCGGUCGCGGAUAGCAGAGAUGCUUUCCUUCAGUUCGGCUGGACCGGUGACAGGUGCUGCAUGGUUGUCGUCAGCUCGUGUCGUGAGAUGUUGGGUUAAGUCCCGCAACGAGCGCAACCCCCGCCUUUAGUUGCCAGCAUUAAGUUGGGCACUCUAGAGGAACUGCCGGUGAUAAGCCGGAGGAAGGUGGGGAUGACGUCAAGUCCUCAUGGCCCUUAUGGGCUGGGCUACACACGUGCUACAAUGGCGGUGACAGAGGGUCGCAACAUGGCAACAUGGAGCUAAUCCCUAAAAACCGUCUCAGUUCGGAUUGUUCUCUGCAACUCGAGAGCAUGAAGUUGGAAUCGCUAGUAAUCGUGGAUCAGCAUGCCACGGUGAAUACGUUCCCGGGCCUUGUACACACCGCCCGUCACACCAUGGGAGUUGGUUCUACCCGAAGGCUGUACGCUAACCGCAAGGAGGCAGCAGGGCACGGUAAGGUCAGCGACUGGGGUG